UGAUCCUGUAGAUCAGGCAUGGCAAAGGCGCUGUGGUCACUGGGAGUGGCUCCAUGGGGUCGCCCACGAAGCUUGGGUGCCUCAGCGCCCCUGCCAGCUGGCCUCCUGCCCCUCCUGCCUCCCAGGAGCACCCCAUCUCCCGGGACCACUCUGCGGAUAGACAGAUGGACACAUCCCUGGCCUUCAGGUGACAGAGUGGCCCUCAGGGCCUCCUAAAGAUGUCACCACUGCACAUAGCUUAGAGGUUUCCACGAAAUCUGGACCCUCUACAGGAACCCGGAGUCCUCUGUCCACCGCAGAACCCGCCCUUCACCCAGGGGUCCUGGGGACGCUGUGCGAGUGAGACGAGAAGUGAAGCUGAGGGACCCGCCAACCUGCUGCUGCCCAUCCCCAUGAGGCCACCUGCUCAGACACUGCCUGGCUCCCCGCCCCCCUCGAAGCCCACCUCUCUGCGGUCCAGUGGGCCGCGCUCCUGAUCUGCUCUGUCUCCCACCCCUUGCCUGCUGGACUUCCCCAGAGCGCGGAGGCUGUUCCUGCCUUGCCGUGGCCCAUGGCCGACCUCAGAGUAAACCUUUGCUGGGA